rnacentral:lncRNA from 10 species
GUCAGGGUUAGAGGACAGACCGUUCAGAAGACCGUUCAGAAGGCAGCGUGAUUGAAGGCAUUUUAAAAAUUAUGUCAGAUCUUUCUCUUCUGCACCGUGGCAAUGUUUCCGGAUGCUUCAUUUCUAUUAAAACGAGGGGAGCAGCCUGGAAGAUGAUGGAAGCCUGUAGGAUCCAGAAGCGUCUUUGCUGGGAAGCCAGGGGGUGUCACCAAGACCUAGGAUGGCCUUACUGCUGCUCAGAGAGGCUAAGCACUUGUCUGAGGUCACACAGAGCUGCAACCAGAUGUACCAAAGAAGGACGAGAAGAAAGUGAGAACAAGAGGAAUAAAAGAAGCAGGACAUUGAAGACCCUUUCAGACUUGAUCCCAGGGAAAGAGCCCUGGACUGGGAAUACAUGCUAGCUAUAAAACUCUAUAAAUUGAGAACAGCUUGUGAGAACAGAAAGAAAAAAAAGACUGUAAUUUUGAAGAGCUUACAAUCUCAUAAUUACAGAAGAGGAGACUGAAGUCCAGAGAAUACAAAUUCAAAACUGCACCAUGCGAUUGUGUUACGGGUUCAGGUUCACUCCAGGUCUUCUAACAUAUCGGCCAGUGCAGGAGGGAACUGCAGAUAACAAACAAAAUCGCCAUCAACAGCAUGAUGUGUUCACAGCCAAAGAAAUGAAAUGAAAUAAAAUUUCCAAAAAUAAAGAAAAUUAAUUGUAAAAAAAAGAGAUAGUAUGAUGUAGCUUUAUAAAAAUGAUGAUUAAAGACAUUGCAAGGAAAGAAAACUACAGACUAAUUUCUUUAUUGAAAUAAAGACAGAAUAUAUAUGGAAAACUCCUCAACAAAGUACUAGAAACACAAAUCAAGCAACAUACAAAAAGGAUAAGACACUAUAACAAAGUGGGAUUUAUUCCAGGAAUGCAAAGUUGGCUUAAGGUAUGAAAAUCAAUUAAUGUAAUACAUCAUAUCAAUAGGAUAAAGGAUGAAAAACCAUGAUCAUCCCAAUAAAUCCAGGAAAAGCACUUGACAAAAUUUAAUACCUUUCAUGAUAAAAAAAAAUUCAAUAAACUAGGAACAGAAGGGAACUUCAGGCCGAGUGCAGUGGCUCAUGCCUGUUAUCCCAGCACUUUGGGAGGCCAAGGUGGGCAUUUCACUUGAGGUCUGGAGUUUAAGAACAGCCUGGCCAAUAUGGUGAAAUACUUUCUCUACUAAAAAUAAAAAAAAAUCAGCCAGGUGUGGUGGUGCACACCUGUAAUCCCAGCUAUUCAGGAGGCUGAGGCAGGAAAACCAUUUGAAUCCAUUGGGCAGAGGUGCAGUGAGACGAGAUCAUGUCACUGCACUCCAACCUGGGUGACAGAGCCAGACUCUGUCUCAAAUUUAAAAAAGAAGGGCACUUACUCGAUCUGAUAAAGGCUAUCUCAAAAAAAACAACCCACUCCUGACAUAUCUAAUGUGACUAAAGGCAUUUUUCUCCUAAGAUCAGGAACAAGACAAGUAUGUUUCUCUCAUCACUUCUAUUUAAGACUGUAUGGGAGGUCCUAGCCAUAGCAAUCAAGAAAAAGAAAUAAAAGGCAUCUAGACUGGAAAGGAAGAAGUAAAACUCUCUCUAUUUGCAGAUGACAUGAUCUUGUAUAUAGAAAAUCCUAAGAAAUCUAAAAACAAAAGCCUAUUAGAACUAAUACGUGGACCAAGGGAUGGUGGCUCACACCUGUAAUCCCAGCACUUUGGGAGGCCAAGGCAGGAGGAUCACUCGAAGCCAGGAGUUUGAGAUCAGCAUCAUAGCAAGACCUCAUCCCUACAAAAAAUAGAAAAUAGAACUAAUAAAUAAAUUCAGCAAGGUUGCAGGAUACAAAAUCAAUAUAAAAAAUCAAUUGUAUUUCUGUACCCUAGCAAUGAACAGU